AACGCACAUUGCGCCCUUUGGUAUUCCAAAGGGCAUGCCUGUUCGAGCGUCAUUUGUACCCUCAAGCUUUGCUUGGUGUUGGGCGUCUUUUUGUCUCUCGCGAGACUCGCCUUAAAAUGAUUGGCAGCCGACCUACUGGUUUCGGAGCGCAGCACAAUUCUUGCACUUUGAAUCAGCCCUGGUUGAGCAUCCAUCAAGACCACAUUUUUUUAACUUUUGACCUCGGAUCAGGUAGGGAUACCCGCUGAACUUAA
rnacentral:misc_RNA from 3 species